UCCCUAUUAUAAGAAUGGCCAAUGAGAGUCUGGGAAAUUUGUUUGAAUCAAUCAGUGUCUUUCACAAUUUAGCCUUCUGGUGGUUCAGUUGCACUGGAAACUUGGGUGAAUGGACUAGAAAGUCGAGCCAUUUAUGCUUAUGCUGGAAUACCAACAUGACACACUGUGGCUGUUAAAUACUUAUUGUUAUUUUAUUUCUCUUUUUCUUUUCUCUGCUUUCCUUAAAUGAAUCUGUAAUUGCUUUGGUUUCCUUGUCUUCCUAGAUGUGGCAGCAUCAUGGACAAAACUAGGUGCCUCUUUUUUCUUUAAUUCUCCUUUGCAAGCUAUUUGAGCAUUCUCCUGUAGUUAAUGCUUCAUUGUAUCUGUAAAUCAAUGUAUAUUGACUAAAUGAAGAAUUCCCUGUUCGAGUGGCUUCCGUGAA